AUGCUUGCUUCAGCAACACAUAUUCCAAAACUGGAACAGUACAGAGAUUAGCAUGGCCCCUGUGCAAGGAUGACAUGCAAAUUUGUGAUGCAUUCUGUAUUUAU
ensembl:snRNA U6 U6 spliceosomal RNA